GCCGGAAGGUCUGUGCCGCUGCACAUGGUGAACCAAGAGAAUGAGAAGGUUCAUGGCUUCCAGCUUCAGCUGUGAAAUCUGCCUGAUUUGGAGCGCGUCCAUCUGCCCACAUAUCCGGCCUGUGGUCCAGACCAGAAUUUGGGAAUAUUGGAGAUUUGGGGAUUUUGACAGGGAUUUUUCACAGUAGGUAGCUGCAACGUGGAUCCCAUCUCAACUGCAUCCCCCUGGGUCUCAGAUGCAGGCCCUGUCCGGAGUCUUCAGUGUUAUGUUCACCAACAGUAACAGCCCCUCAUGAGACCUAGUGAGGACAAGGAGGAGACCCAAACCAUGGUCCUGGACAUGAGGUGCUGCAGUGAAACUCUAGAGUGAGAUCUAAAUGAGGACAAACUGAAACACCUUAAGCCCCUUUCAGCCCAAAUUACAAAAUCAAAGUGGCCCUUUUACAUAAUUAUGCUGCUGUUUCUGAAUGAAGCCGCUCAUCAUUCUGGGGGGGUCAGCGGGGGUCGGUGUUGGUGAAGAAAAGCUGAGGGAGCGCGCAGGCCGAAGGAAGCAGUAAACACGACGGCUCUCAGAUUUCUCCACCACUGUUCAUAUCUCCCUCUAGGGUCAUUAUUCAGCCUGUUUGCUAAUUCAGCUUUUCCUUUUAAAACCAGAAAGGAAAGAGAAAAAAAGGCCUCAAAACAUUGGCACGACAUCAUAUUAGAACAUAUCCGCAGCAUGUGACUGAUGGUUAUUACUCUGGGGGUCAUUUCUCUGUUUACGCUAUAGGACAAUAUCUUUAAGCAGCUCGUAUUUUACAUGUGACAAAACAUCAGUCUGGAUCUUUUCACUAGAGAUUCAUGGCCGCCAAAAAAAAAGAAAGAAAA